rnacentral:rRNA from 1 species
UACAGAGGGUGCAAGCGUUGUUCGGGAUUACUGGGCGUAAAGCGCGUGUAGGCGGUUUGGUAAGUUCUGUGUGAAAGCCCUGGGCUCAACCCAGGAAGUGCGCAGAAUACUGCUUGACUGGAGUGACGGAGAGGAUGGCGGAAUUCCCGGUGUAGAGGUGAAAUGCGCAGAUAUCAGGAGGAACACCGGUGGCGAAGGCGGUUCUCUGGGCAUGAUCUGACGCUGAGGAGCGAAAGUGUGGGGAGCGAACAGG